AUUGAACGCUGGCGGCAUGCUUUACACAUGCAAGUCGAACGGUAGAGGGGGCAACCCCUUGAGAGUGGCGAACGGGUGAGUAAUGCAUCGGAACGUGCCCAGUCGUGGGGGAUAACGCAGCGAAAGCUGUGCUAAUACCGCAUACGAUCUCUGGAUGAAAGCGGGGGACCGAAAGGCCUCGCGCGAUUGGAGCGGCCGAUGUCAGAUUAGGUAGUUGGUGGGGUAAAGGCUCACCAAGCCAACGAUCUGUGGCUGGUCUGAGAGGACGACCAGCCACACUGGGACUGAGACACGGCCCAGACUCCUACGGGAGGCAGCAGUGGGGAAUUUUGGACAAUGGGCGCAAGCCUGAUCCAGCAAUGCCGCGUGCAGGAAGAAGGCCUUCGGGUUGUAAACUGCUUUUGUACGGAACGAAAAGAUCUGGGUUAAUACCCUGGGCACACGACGGUACCGUAAGAAUAAGCACCGGCUAACUACGUGCCAGCCGCCGCAGUAA
rnacentral:rRNA from 1 species